rnacentral:rRNA from 1 species
AACGAACGCUGGCGGCAGGCCUAACACAUGCAAGUCGAGCGCUGUAGCAAUACAGAGCGGCGCACGGGUGAGUAACACGUGGAAACGUGCCCUUUGGUUCGGAAUAACUCAGGGAAACUUGAGCUAAUACCGGAUGAGCCCUAACGGGGAAAGAUUUAUCGCCGAAGGAGCGGCCCGCGUCGGAUUAGCUAGUUGGUGGGGUAAAAGCCUACCAAGGCAACGAUCCGUAGCUGGUUUGAGAGAACGACCAGCCACACUGGGACUGAGACACGGCCCAGACUCCUACGGGAGGCAGCAGUGGGGAAUCUUGGACAAUGGGGGAAACCCUGAUCCAGCCAUGCCGCGUGAGUGAUGAAGGCCCUAGGGUUGUAAAACUCUUUCGGCGGGGACGAUAAUGACGGUACCCGCAGAAGAAGCUCCGGCUAACUUCGUGC